rnacentral:rRNA from 1 species
GACGAACGCUGGCGGCGUGCUUAACACAUGCAAGUCGAACGGUGAAGCUCCAGCUUGCUGGAGUGGAUCAGUGGCGAACGGGUGAGUAACACGUGAGCAACCUGCCCCUGACUCUGGAGUAAGCGCUGGAAACGGCGUCUAAUACUGGAUACGAGAAGGGUCCGCAUGGGGACUUUCUGGAAAGUUUUUCGGUUGGGGAUGGGCUCGCGGGCUCUCAGCUUGUUGGUGAGGUAAUGACUCACCAAGGCGACGACGGGUAGCCGGCCUGAGAGGGCGACCGGCCACACUGGGACUGAGACACGGCCCAGACUCCUACGGGAGGCAGCAGUGGGGAAUAUUGCACAAUGGGCGAAAGCCUGAUGCAGCGACGCCGCGUGAGGGAUGACGGCCUUCGGGUUGUAAACCUCUUUCAGCAGGGAAGAAGCGAAAGUGACGGUACCUGCAGAAGAAGCACCGGCUAACUACGUG